rnacentral:rRNA from 1 species
GUGGGGAAUUUUGGACAAUGGGCGCAAGCCUGAUCCAGCAAUGCCGCGUGCAGGAAGAAGGCCUUCGGGUUGUAAACUGCUUUUGUACGGAACGAAACGGUCCUGGUUAAUACCUGGGGCUAAUGACGGUACCGUAAGAAUAAGCACCGGCUAACUACGUGCCAGCAGCCGCGGUAAUACGUAGGGUGCAAGCGUUAAUCGGAAUUACUGGGCGUAAAGCGUGCGCAGGCGGUUUUGUAAGACAGGCGUGAAAUCCCCGGGCUCAACCUGGUGAUUGCGCUUGUGACUGCAAGGCUGGAGUGCGGGAGAGGGGGAUGGAAUUCCGCGUGUAGCAGUGAAAUGCGUAGAUAUGCGGAGGAACACCGAUGGCGAAGGCAAUCCCCUGGGCCUGCACUGACGCUCAUGCACGAAAGCGUGGGGAGCAAACAGGAUUAGAUACCCGUGUAGUCC